AAAUGAUCUUAUGUUUUAAAAGCAUCCAUUAAGACUUAGUAAAUUUAAAUCACGUGCUCCAUCACUUGUCUUCUCCUUCGUCUUCUAUAUUGCCCGAAUACAGGGAAUCUUACAGAUAGUAACUUCCAGGUGCCAGCUGUAGGCGUAUUAGAAUGUAACCAUCUUCCCAGGAGACCCCCAACUGAUGGCUCCCGGCUCCAGGGACCCAGCUAAGACUCCAAGGCACUUCAGCCUCAUUAAAGGAGCUGAUCUGUGCAUCUGUCCUCUGGGAUACAGAAUAUUACCUCACUCUUCUUCCAUCAGAACUUAAUUUAUCUCUGAGUAAAUCCAGAAGGUCACCUUUUCGGAUCCAUCUCCAUUAUAACCAGCCUUUCCUCCACCAGACCCCCGGCUGCAGACCUCAUACUUAACCCAAAGCCCUGCAGUUUAACCUGCCCGCGCAUCAACCCCUAACGUCGGCUAGUGGGGAGCUGGGAGCCCGGAGCCGGAUCGGCCUGAGCGCAUGCACGAAUUCCUCGGCGGCUCCAGGCAUUCUCGCCGCAUUACCGCGGAAGCGUCUCCUCUCGCGGGAGUGAUUUGAAGCCCGGCGGGAACCGGGCUUGCCAGGGCUGAGUCUGAGGGGACGAUCGCGAGCUGCAGCUCAGAGCGCGUUGGCCGGGGAGAAGCAGCUGCUGAUGAACAAGGGCUCUCAGGCGGGCUGUCGCAGCAGCAGCAGCAGCAGCAGCAGCAGCAGCGCCAGAGCCACCGGCUGAUGGUGGAUCCACUCCGCUUCCGGGUCCAGCCGCGACCCAGGCGAUAAAUCCCAGAGGGACAGCCCCUGUGCGAGUAUCUCUGAGAUUGUUGAAGUUUGGAUUCCGGUUUACCUUGUCUAUUUACUUAGAAUACUAUAGUGUUUUUGAUAAUCACAGUAGUCUUGUGUGGGCUUUUAGGUUAAGACAACCAUUGAUUUUUUUUUAAAUAAACUAUAAAUUCAUUAAUUAGAUGUACAUAUGUAUCUUUCCCUGUAAUGAUUUUUAAUAAAACACGUUUUGAAAUCACU
rnacentral:lncRNA from 1 species